rfam:Pseudomonas knackmussii B13 complete genome
UGCGUACACGGAAUGACGCGGGUCGAAAAGGACUUCGGCCAGGACGUCGCGGGAUGCGACUCAUCAGGAUGAUGGGGUAGGGAAAAAAAGGGCGGGUUAAUCCCGCCCCUUUUUUU